GAAAGCGUGGGGAGCGAACGGGAUUAGAAACCCCGGUAGUCCACGCUGUAAACGAUGUCAACUAGGUGUCGGUGGCGUAGAACCCGUCGGUAUCGAAGCUAACGCGUUAAGUUGACCGCCUGGGGACUACGAUCGCAAGAUUAAAACUCAAAGGAAUUGACGGGGACCCGCACAAGCAGCGGAGCGUGUGGUUUAAUUCGAGGCUACGCGAAGAACCUUACCAGGGAUUGACAUGCACGUAGUAGGGAAGCGAAAGCAGACCGACCCUUCGGGGAGCGUGCACAGGUGAUGCAUGGCUGUCGUCAGCUCGUGCCGUGAGGUGUCAGGUUAAGUCCUGUAACGAGCGCAACCCCUGUCGUGUGUUAUACGUGUCACACGAGACUGCCGGUGUCAAACCGGAGGAAGGCGGGGAUGACGUCAAGUCAGCAUGUCCUUCAUAUCCUGGGCUACACACACGCUACAAUGGCCGGGACAACAGGCAGCCAAGCCGCGAGGCGGAGCUAAUCCUCUAAACCCGGUCUCAGUUCGGAUUGUAGGCUGCAACUCGCCUGCAUGAAGUCGGAGUUGCUAGUAACCGCGCGUCAGCAACAGUGCGGUGAAUACGUUCCCGGGUCUUGUACACACCGCCCGUCACGUCAUGGAAGCUGGCAACACCUGAAGCCGGUGGCCUAACCGCAAGGAGGGAGCCGUCCAAGGUGGGGUUGGUGACUGGGACGAAGUCGUAACAAGGUAGCUGUAGCGGAAGCUGCGGCUG
rnacentral:rRNA from 1 species